rnacentral:rRNA from 1 species
AUUGAACGCUGGCGGCAGGCCUAACACAUGCAAGUCGAGCGGUAGAGAGGUGCUUGCAUCUCUUGAGAGCGGCGGACGGGUGAGUAAUGCCUAGGAAUCUGCCUAGUGGUGGGGGAUAACGUUCGGAAACGGACGCUAAUACCGCAUACGUCCUACGGGAGAAAGCGGGGGAUCUUCGGACCUCGCGCCAUUAGAUGAGCCUAGGUCGGAUUAGCUAGUUGGUGAGGUAAUGGCUCACCAAGGCGACGAUCCGUAACUGGUCUGAGAGGAUGAUCAGUCACACUGGAACUGAGACACGGUCCAGACUCCUACGGGAGGCAGCAGUGGGGAAUAUUGGACAAUGGGCGAAGACCUGAUCCAGCCAUGCCGCGUGUGUGAAGAAGGUCUUCGGAUUGUAAAGCACUUUAAGUUGGGAGGAAGGGUAGUAACCUAAUACGUUGCUACUUUGACGUUACCGACAGAAUAAGCACCGGCUAACUUCGUGCCAGCAGCCG